rnacentral:misc_RNA from 1 species
AUGGAGAUUCCCAUGGGGACCCAGGGCUGCUUCUCAAAGAGCCUCCUGCUCUCAGCCCUUCCCUGUAACUUCCCACAGCCUCAAUCCUGGUCCUCUGGAUGCUCCAAGGCUCCCAGGCAGCUCUCUACAUCCAGAAGAUUCCAGAGCAGCCUCAAAAGAACCAGGACCUUCUCCUGUCAGUCCAGGGUGUCCCAGACACCUUCCAGGACUUCAACUGGUACCUGGGGGAGGAGACGUACGGAGGCACGAGGCUAUUUACCUACAUCCCUGGGAUACAACGGCCUCAGAGGGAUGGCAGUGCCAUGGGACAGCGAGACAUCGUGGGCUUCCCCAAUGGUUCCAUGCUGCUGCGCCGCGCCCAGCCUACAGACAGUGGCACCUACCAAGUAGCCAUUACCAUCAACUCUGAAUGGACUAUGAAGGCCAAGACUGAGGUCCAGGUAGCUGGAUGGCGACCACAGAGAAGCCAGAAUUGGGCCCUGCUCAUGAUGCUGGUGACAACAACAUCUAUGAAGUGAUGCCCUCUCCAGUCCUCCUGGUGUCCCCCAUCAGUGACACAAGGUCCAUAAACCCAGCCCGGCCCCUGCCCACACCCCCACACCUGCAGGCGGAGCCAGAGAACCACCAGUACCAGGACCUGCUAAACCCCGACCCUGCCCCCUACUGCCAGCUGGUGCCAACUUCCUGAUGGGUCCUGGGCCAGGCCAGCCAGGGAGAAGACAAGGCCCCAGCCCUCCUCUGGGAGCCUCACACCUGAGACCAGCAGGACAAGGCCAUUGGGGGCUGUGGGGCCGAUGAGGUGGACUCAGCCAAAGACUCAGCAGCACAUGGGGCAGGUGUCCUGGCAGGGGGACAGGAGACUGUAACAGGCCCAGGUCCUUGUGCAGCCCGUGAAUGCACGCCCGCCUUCGGUCUGUUCCUUCAAGCAAGCUGGCCUGGGCCAUGUGCCUGUGAAAGGCAGGCUCUGGCCCCUUUCCAUGCCAAAGUCCCCCAAGAUCUGGAUAUCUGGGGACAAGAUGGUGGCCUCAGGCCUGCCUCCCAGGCAGUUGGCUGGGCUCCCAACUGUCUGUCCUCAAUGCCCUACCCCAACUCCACUAGUGACCCUCAGAGUCUUCUCCCCUUAGGACAAGGCAGACACCCCACCAUGCGGGCCUCAGGUGGCAGAGAGGCCCAGCCUCACAGGCCUGUGGCCCCACACACCAGUCCCAGCAAGGUGACCACGGCUGCUGGACCCCUUCCCUGUUCAGGCAGGCCCAGCCCCUCUCAGAACCUGCUGCCAGCUGCUGGUCUUGGCCCCCACCCUGAAUCUUACUGAGUCCCUCUGGGCAGCAGCUCCCUUCUCCACCCCACCCCAGCACCCGUCCCAAAUGUGGCCUCAGCUUGUCCUCCCCUUCCCCAAACUAUGCAUUCAUUCAGCAAUAAAUGAGCCUUUGCUGUAUGCCAGACCCAGUUCUAGGCUCUUGCAGCCCUGGUAGAAAGCAAAACAAAAACUCCCGCUUUCCCAGAGGGUCACUUGGCAGGGGAAAGAAUCAGGAAAUAAAAUAAAUAAUGAA